GUUUAACGGCCGCGGUAUCCUAACCGUGCAAAGGUAGCGCAAUCAAUUGUCCCAUAAAUCGAGACUAGUAUGAAUGGCUAAACGAGGUCUUAACUGUCUCUUGCAGGCAAUCGGUGAAAUUGAUCUCCCUGUGCAAAAGCAGGGAUAAACCCAUAAGACGAGAAGACCCUGUGGAACUUUAAAAACAGCAGCCACCUCAAAUAGCAUAACCCCCCACUGGGCUCACUCACACAUAAGCCGCUGGCCUGCAUUUUUUCGGUUGGGGCGACCUUGGAGAAAAACAAAUCCUCCAAAAAUUAGACCACACCUCUAGACCAAGAGCAACCUCUCAACGUGCUAAUAGCAACCAGACCCAAUAUAAUUGAUCAAUGGACCAAGCUACCCCAGGGAUAACAGCGCAAUCUCCUUUAAGAGUCCAUAUCGACAAGGAGGUUUACGACCUCGAUGUUGGAUCAGGACAUCCUAGUGGUGCAGAAGCUACUAAGGGUUCGUUUGUUCAACGAUUAACAGUCCU
rnacentral:rRNA from 1 species